UACGUAGGGGGCAAGCGUUGUCCGGAAUCAUUGGGCGUAAAGAGCGCGUAGGCGGUCCGGUAAGUCCGCUCUGAAAGUCCGGGGCUCAACCCCGGGAGGCGGGCGGAUACUGUCGGGCUAGAGUCCGGAAGAGGCGAGUGGAAUUCCUGGUGUAGCGGUGAAAUGCGCAGAUAUCAGGAGGAACACCAAUUGCGAAGGCAGCUCGCUGGAACGUUACUGACGCUGAGACGCGAAAGCGUGGGGAGCAAACAGG
rnacentral:rRNA from 1 species